GAUGAACGCUGGCGGCAGGCCUAACACAUGCAAGUCGAACGGCAGCACAGAAGAGCUUGCUCUUUGGGUGGCGAGUGGCGGACGGGUGAGUAAUGUCUGGGAAACUGCCCGAUGGAGGGGGAUAACUACUGGAAACGGUAGCUAAUACCGCAUAACGUCGCAAGACCAAAGUGGGGGACCUUCGGGCCUCACACCAUCGGAUGUGCCCAGAUGGGAUUAGCUAGUAGGUGGGGUAAUGGCUCACCUAGGCGACGAUCCCUAGCUGGUCUGAGAGGAUGACCAGCCACACUGGAACUGAGACACGGUCCAGACUCCUACGGGAGGCAGCAGUGGGGAAUAUUGCACAAUGGGCGCAAGCCUGAUGCAGCCAUGCCGCGUGUAUGAAGAAGGCCUUCGGGUUGUAAAGUACUCUCAGCGGGGAGGAAGGUGUUGAGGUUAAUAACCUCAGCAAUUGACGUUACCCGCAGAAGAAGCACCGGCUAACUCCGUGCCAGCAGCCGCCGUAA
rnacentral:rRNA from 1 species